UGUUCACUUCUUAUCAGUUGGUAGCACAGUUGUGAUGCUAAGUUGUAUCUUGCUUUUUAACCUAAACAUCAACUAUCUAAUAGUAUCUCAGCAGACUCUUCAUACAGGAAAAUGAAAUGGAGGCCAAAAGGGGAGGCCAGGAACCUCAGCAGUGAACUUACAAGAUGGAUGAUUACAAAAAUGUAUCUUCAGAGACCACUAAAUGUCAUCAAUUUAAUGCAUUACAGGAUGCAGGAGAAUCACUACCAGUCUUGGCAAACAGAUUCAAGCGAAGACACCAAGGAAAGUUCUACAAGUCACUAACCAAACAAUAAUACCACCAACAAAACAUCAAUGAAGUGAUGCUUUCCCAAGCCCUAAAGUACCUCACACAAGAUUCCCACCAGCAGCUAUGCAGACUGCUUUGUUUAUUGGUUGUCUAUUCAAGCUUUUACUAGGUGACUUCAUUAGUGAAUAGUGUUUGGGAAGAAAAAUUAUGAAAUGCAUAAUCUCAGUCCUGGUAACCGUCUUUUGAAAAACUAAC
rnacentral:lncRNA from 1 species